CAUGUCUUUUUGAUUAUAAUUUAAGGUUUAGCCUGCUCAAUGAAAAUUUAAAUUGCCGCAGUAUUUUGACUGUGCAAAGGUAGCAUAAUAAUUAGUUUUUUUAUUGAAAGCUGGAAUGAAUGGUUGGACGAGGAAAUUUCUGUCUCUUUUUAAUUUUUUUUUGAAUUUUAUUUUUAAGUUAGAAAGCUUAAAUUUUUUUAAAAGACGAGAAGACCCUAUAGAGUUUUAUUUUUUUAAUUAUUAUUUUUUAUUUGUAUUUAAAUUUUAAUUUUUAAUAUAAUUUGAUUGGGGUGAUUGGAAGAUUAAUUUAACUCUUUUAAUUUAUAUCAUUGAUUUGUGAAUUGUUAAUCUAUAUUUUUAAUUAUAAAUUAAAUUACCUUAGGGAUAACAGCGUAAUUUUUUUUUAGAGUUCUUAUUUAAAUAAAAGUUUGCGACCUCGAUGUUGGAUUAAAAUUAUAGUUGGGUGCAGAAGCUCAAUCUAUAAAGUCUGUUCGACUUUUAUAAUUUUACAUGAUCUGAGU
rnacentral:rRNA from 1 species